rnacentral:rRNA from 1 species
AAUAUUGGACAAUGGGCAAAAUCCUCAUCUAGCCUUGCCGCGUGUGUGAAGUUUGUCUUCUGAUUGUAAAGCACUUUCAGUUGAGAGGAAGGGUUUUAGAUUAAUACUCUACAAUUUUGUCGUUACCAACAGAUUAAUCACCGGCUAACUUCGUGCUAUCAGCCGCGGUAAUACGAAGGGUGCAAGCCUUAAGCGGAAUUACUGGGAGUAAUGCGCGCGUAGGUGGUUUGCCAAGUUGGAAGUGAAAGCCACGGGCUCAACCUGGGAACUGCUUUCAAAACUGGCAAGCUAGAGUAUGGCAGAGGGUGGUGGAAUUUCCUGUGUAGCGGUGAAAUGCGUAGAUAUAGGAAGGAACAUCAGUGGCGAAGGCGACCACCUGGGCUAAUACUGACUCUGAGGUGCGAAAGCGUGGGGAGCAAAC